CAUGCUUUAACUAAUGAAUUAUGGUAGAAGACCUUUCUCACUUAUUUUCCGUCAGUCAAGCUAUAAUCAUGCUCAUUAAUUUGUGAUGUAAGAAAUUGAUUUUGUGGGAAAGUUUGUUUUUGUUUUUGUUGUUUUCAUCUUUUAGUGGGCAGAUCUUUGAAGAAGGCCUGGAGACGAGCAGCUGGCAGAGGCGGCUCCUUGAAAACGGAGCAGCAGUCAACCACAGUUGCCCCUCAGCCCUUCCACUGGUCCCAUGAGAGGAACAUGCAGAGAGAAAUGAGGCGGGGAGAAUUGGCUCACGUGUUGCCAGAUAAUGUCCCUUGAGAAGUCCCUGGACUGCUGAGACCUGUCCCACUGCCCAGUCCAUAGUCAGAGAGGCCCCAGUAUCCCCGUGCUGCUCACCACGAGCUCCCUGUGUUGCAACAGUAACUUGUGCCCCAGCACUUGCUCCCCCUAAGCUUCUUGGAAGUCUCCGUCUGACAGCCCUGUGUCUUUGCACAAUGUCUGGUUUGCCAUGAGGAUUUAAUAAGUAACUACCAAGUGAUAGGAUGAAUGUCUAUUUGUUGGAUUGUGCUGUGAG
ensembl:lincRNA